CUUUCGUUUGUUUUAGCCAGACGCCAGGUUUUAGGCUGCCACCAGAGGCGGGGCAUAGGCACUAAAGCAACAAGACAAUAGAAGCCUACAUCUUGCCCAAGAUAAUUAGCUUACAUGCUGAUGACAAGGACAUCACUUCUCACAGAUGGAGAGUCUGGAGAGGAAGGAGUGCGGGAAUGUGGUCAGACUCAAAGAUUUGGACAGGUGGAAUCAGACUGGAGCUCUGCACAAUAGACCUCCAAGGCUGUACUUGGCAACUAGCUGAAAGAAAAGAAGAGAUGGCAAUUUUCAUAAUUUUUGCCACACUUUCAGUGACUUGUGACACUGUUACCCUAGUUCCUCUACAUUAUUCAAAAUUUACCAUGAAAAUAGGGAGAGAAGAGAUCAAAGAUAAUAUAGGAGGAAGUAAAAACAGAAAAUCCAGGCAGUAGAGACACAAGAACAGAAAGAAAAAGAAAAUUUAUUCCAUGAGACACAGUGCCUCUUAAUGGCCUCUGACAAGAAACACUGCCACCAGGAAUGAAGGCGUUGGAGAAUGACAAAAGUGGUGGGAGAAAAUCAACUGAUUUGACCUAAGAUUCCAGGCAAAGAAGGCUGCUGAGGUAAUACAAUGAGAUACUGUCCUGCAUUGGAGUAUGAAAGGACAAGAUUGACUGCCACCUACAUCAGUAAUUGUAUAUGCAUUGGUUUCUACAGCUGAAUCCAGAAUAAAUAAUUUACAACAUUACCUUGGAAUAAAGUUGUCUUCAGAAGCAAGCAAGUACCUUAGUUACUGAUUCAUGAGAGAACCUUCCCUCUUAUCCCAUGACUGCCUACUUUACUUAAGAAUAUUUGGUGAGGGACCAUUGCAAAGACAUUCUGAAAGUCCAAGUAUACUGUAUCUACUGGAUCAAUCUGGUCCACAUUCCUUAAAGAAUUCUAAUAGAUUGGUGAGGCAUGAAAGGGGCUAACCAAAGAUGAGAAAAGGAAUUCCUAGCCAACCAUCAAUAUUUGAGUGACCUGGAGCAGCAAUGGAUUCCAUAAAAGCCCACAACAGCAUACUGUUUUGACCAUUGGAAGGCAGAUGCCCUCAAUAUACAUUGUGAUAAUUGCUUUUGCCAUUUCCUCAAAGUGGUUUCCUCUUCCUAAUAACUUUACCUCCAUCUGCAUGGGGUUAACUUGAGCCAGCUUUCUAUCAUCCAGGUCCCAGUCUCCUUCAGACACUGAGGCAGUUGGACAAUAGCAUUGUCUCCAUUAGAUCUGAAAAGGAUGUAGAGCUGGAUGUCAACAGCAUAUUGAUGACACUGUAAUCCAUGAUGAUGCAGGACCUCCCCUAACAGUCUUACUCUCUUGCAACAGGCAGGGAUGUUUGAACCCCUUGGAUUUCGUAGGAGAGAGCCUAUGGGGAUGUACAGUUGCCUAUUGUCACCCUCUGAGACUUAUCAGAAGAAUGAGCAGAAAGAUAUUGCUACAUUCUAAUGUAAUGGCAUGCCUACUUAAGUCAUGUAAAACCAGUGUAAGUGAGCUCCUAGGAAUCUCUAAUUCUGUAAUCUUGGGUAGUGAUGCUCCUUAUUCUUUUUUUUUUCAUCCUCUUCUGUGUCUUUUUCUUGGUCAUUGUCAUUUUGUCAGCAGUAUAAUUAAGUCUCUGAACAUAUACAAGUGCAAUGUCUAUUCAUGCCAGCAGCUGUUACAACACUGAUAUCUAAAUAAAGAAGUAGUACACCACUGACACAAAAUAUAUGGACAAUGGAUUGACUAUUUAACACUUCUGCCUCUGUCUGACACCUGACUUAGAAUCUGGAAAAUAUAUGUAAAAAUACAGUGUAUUGCUUACUGUUACAGUAAGAGCUUCACUGUUAAUGAAUGGAAUGGCAUAUAGAACAUGUGUUUUGUUCAAUUAAAACAUUAACGUUAUAAAAUAUUUUUUAAAAUUCACCUCUAUUAGUAGCCAAUUACUCAUGUUAAAAGACUUAGUCUGAUCAUUGUUACACCAUACACAGAGAGAGCCAACACAAAACAGCUCUUGAAAUCGGUAAGAACAUCCACAAUUGAAUGUUUACUCUAUUGUCGGGAGUUGUUUUCUCCACAUGCUGUCUACGCUUCAUUGACAUCCUCAUUCCUUAUGAGUCUCAGAGUGUGGCAAUAAGCAACUAUACCUCCCAGUGGGCUUGUGACAUCCAAGAGGGCUCAGUCCUGUCAUCACCUCCUUUUAUGCAACUGCAAAAGAGUAAGGCUGUUAGGGGACGUCAUGAGUGAAACAUGCUAAGUUAUUCUCCCCCACUGAAGGCAAAAGGUGAAUCAGCACCACUUUAUUUUUUAUUAACCCUGUAGAGCAUUAGAGUUUCCCACUAAAAGUGCCUGCCACUUGUGAAAGUUCUAAUGAAGCUUUGGAACAUUGGCAUUCCAUCCGACACCUUUUAGCACUUAUAUGUGGAGCCUACAGCAUAUGUUGUUUCAACAAGUGGACCAUGUAGUUGCUUACUACUUAACUUCAACAUUUAAUAUGCAAAUUAAGGCAUAAUAGGGGAGUCUUAAUUGGUUGGCCUAAUUUGCAUAUUUAAUGUCAGGCUUCAAAUGUGAAGGUCUGAUCCCUAUAGCUCCCAAGAUGUCUGCACUAAAAAUAAACUAUUUCCAUUGGCUAUAGCUGCCAUGGCAGCAAACAUGUGUGACACUUGGACAGUACAGAUGUAUGGGUUUGUGAUGCCUCAGUGAACACAGCUGACCUCUGAGGUUCUGCAACAUCUAGAACCAUAGGCCACCCCUUCUGAGGAGUACAGGAGACGCUCCAUUUUCAUUUUUUUUUAAAUAGCUUCCUUGUCUUUUCCUUGCAAAGAUACCUUUGAAUAUAUAACUGGGGAAACCCAUUAUUAGGGUUGAAAACUUGUCACUGAUUUUAUUCUUAAAAUCACAGGUUAUUCUGUCCCUUCAACUACACAUGGGGCCAGGAUCUGGAGCCCAGAAAAAACAGUAUAAUCAGACUCUUUGAUAUUUUGGAAGAAAAUCAAGCUUGCAGCUGUGGAGGUCAGUCCUGGGGUUAAUGAUGAUGGUAUGAGGACAAGCUCCCUACAGUCAGAUAUAUGCAGCUGAGGCAGGUCCUUGCUGAGCAACCAGCAUGACUUUAAUAUGGCCAUGAAGAGGGCAGCUCAAAAUGUGGGAAGCAGCAUGAGGAAGUUGACUAUGCAAAGGACAGAGAACAAGGCACUACUCCCAGCUCUGAGUGACACCUUCUCUCCCACUGCCCCCAUGGCUUUUGGCAAGUCAGUUUUCCUUCUCUGCCACACAUAUAAGCCCAGAUUCUGAGCUCAAGGGUGGGAGCAAGCAUGUCAGAGUGUGUGACCAAAACAUUUCCAAACUGGCUUUCCAUGUACUUUACAUUAUGAGGGAGAGUGUGGCAGAAUCCAGCCCAUAGUCCUUCUUUUGCUGAACAUUUACAUUCAAAGUCUGUCCUAUCUCCACCACAGAAGGUUGGUUGGGCCUGCACAGUAGGCUGUAUUGCAGAACAAGUACAGCAAAGUAAAAAAAUGAAAGCUGAUUAUAAAUGAUGAGCUGUGAACCUAGCCCUCACACAGGUUCUCUCCAGAGAAAAACAUAAACUUUCCCAUCAGUCCUCACUGAAAUUAUUUUAACUGCAAGGAUGCAAAGAAAACACAAGCUAAUUAUAAAAGGAACAUUGUCUUAAUAUCUUAAUGAAGCGGUUUUGCUAACAGUGAGAGACCUGAAUUUUAAUGCAUUUUAAGAGCUUCUUGAUUACGUGUUUGUUAGUUGAUAUGAUCAUUUUAAAUUAUCUGUAUGUGGCUUUACUCCAUGUUAAAAAACUGCAUUAAGUACUGUACUCUAAACAGGUGUUAAUGAAACAGGAGGGUAACACAAACGUUGUUAAGAAAUUCACUGAAAAAGAAAUCUAAACUAGUUAAUGUAAAACAUGGCAUUACAUCCUACAGUUACACCUAGCAUAGUAUAAUUGUUUAUACACUUACCAGAUAAUUCUUCAAACAUAUUUUCUUCUGAAAAUAGUAUUCUAUGAAAUGGACAGCUAGUGUGUCUCUACCAUUAGUUUCUGUCUAAUUUUGCAGUAUAUUGCGCAAAAAUUCUCUGACAGACAGAGAAAACUUGCAUUAAAACAUUGUAUGCUGAGGAAGUUGAAAUUAGGAAUGGGUAUACCAGUUUCGAAAAUCUCUUUCCAUCUCUCAGCAUUAGAACCAAUCCCUUUUUUGUUGUUCUGAAAAUGUUUUUUGCUCUUCUGAUUUUGCUCUGGAUAGGGCAAAGAACCUGAAAAAUGAUUAAUUAUGAGUGUAUCCAGUGGGAGAUUCCUAUCUAUUCUUUCCACAGAAGUUAGUGUUGAAGUUUGGAGGUUCAUCAAUGAUCCCAUGGUAAUUCAUAAUCAUCAGUAUUAGCUUAAGAAGCUUGCUGAUAAGUUCUUACAUAUAGUAAAUUUGACUAUGUUAGUUAGCAAAUAGGGCAUACCUUUGGUGUUGCUUAAGUAAAUUAUAUAUGGAUUGAUAUUGCUCAUUUUGUUAUAAAUGAAACUACAAUUUUUGUUGCAGUCACUGGAGAUCAAAAUAUACCUAAAAUCAUAUGCAUCUUCAUGAGAAUUUGUAGGGGCAAGUAAGAAACAGAAUCUUAUCUAACAUAGACAUCUAUUGAAAAAAUACUAAUUACAUGGCUCGGUUUAAUUUAUUUUUAGGUCAUACUGCCCUCUAGGGGAUUAAGCAUAUAACCGGGUUUUUUUGCAUAUACAAUUUUCCUAAUUCAGACUUUCUCACUUCAAGAAUAAAGGGGCUACUUCCUUUGUACUGCAGUAGAAAUAUUAACCAAAUAAUAUUUUAAUUGAAUUUCACAAAUAAUUAUUUUAAGUAUUAUUUGCAUUAUUUCCUGAGAAACAUUCUUAAUAAUUAGCACAUAGCCACAACUGUACACAUACAGGGACCAUGCUUCAGAUGUGUCCACAAUCCACAAUCCAUGUUUAAAUAGAAUCAAAUGCAGGUUAUUCAAAAUAUCAACAAGCAUGGGUACUUUUAAAGAUGGAAUAUAAAAGGUAGAAUAAGAAAAGUAAGAAGAAAAUGAAAAGAGAGGGAAGAACGAAGGGGAAAGAUUAGUAACCGCUAAAUGGGCUGGUAAAUAAAUAUGCUUUUUCAUAGGAGACAGCUUUUGUUAAGGAGAUAGGCUAACUUUUUAAAAGCACCUAAGUGACUUAGGAAUCCAAGUCUCAUUUUCAAAAGUGAUUUAGGGCCAGAUUUUCAAUAGGAAUCAAUAAAAGUUAGGCACAUAGGCACUUUUGAAAAUCCUGUUAGAUACUUGCCUACAUCUUUAUGCACCUAAAUACCUUUGAAAAAUCUGUCCCUUAGAUACCUCUUUGAAAAAAAUGACACUACUACCACCACCAUCUGCCCCAAAUAAUUUCUUGUGUUCCAAAUAAAAAUAAACCAACUAAACAAUAAGAGAUGUGCACUUUGGUGUUUAAGUCCCAUUGAAAAAUCAAUGGACGUUAGGCUUCUAAGGGAUUGUCUACCUUGCCCAGCAGUUCAGACUACAGGGGUAUGAGUAGCAGUGCACGCCAAAGUGUGGCCGCUGUGGGCAUGAACCAAACUAGGAACCUUUUUGUUUGUGCCCACAGUAUCCACAAGGGGGAGUUACAGUGCAGCUAUUCACACCCCCAUAAACUGAACUGUGGGGCAGUGCGGACAUUGCCUAAGAGAUUGAGGCUAUCUUGAAUUUUUACCUGGAAUUCCAGUUCUCCAUUUCUGACUUGCAGAUAGUGCUUUAGCAUCACAGUCCUAGUGCAAAUGACAUAAAUGCCUGAAUUGACUAAAGUUAUAUUUUGAACCUCUUACUAUUUUUUUAAAGUAUUUACCUGGGGGAAAUUAGCUUCAGGGCAGAGGACCUGUGCAAGGCACUUCACACCAUGUGUGCCUUCGGGAUCUACUGGGGGUUUGGGAUGAGGGAUUAUGCCUCCACACCCACUAGGCGGCUUUCACAGCAGCUCCAAAUAAAUUGGGACAGUGUGCAGCUGGGGAGUAGCCUCUAGAUCAGCAUUAGCUAACACAUUAGGGUUACCGCCACCCAGGGGUCUCCAUGACUAGCUAUCACAUGUUAAAAUAUAACUGGCCGUGUCUACCUAUGAAUUGUAAAAUGUGUUAGUUUCAAGAUUUUUGCUAACACAUUUCAGAAAUAGACCUAUUAUUAUCUUAGUCUAAAUAAUGCCGUAGAAUACAGUCAGGAGACAAAGCCCUGGUCUACACUAGGCGUUGAGGUCGAAUUUAGCAGUGUUAAAUCGAUGUACCCCUGCACCCGUCCACAUGACGAAGCCCUUUUUUUCGACUUAAAGGGCUCU